ACAGUUACCCCACACAGCUCCGGAGGUCAGAAGUACGAAAUCAGUUCCACUGGGUGGAAAUCAAGGAGUUGGCAGGGCCAUGCUGUCUGCAAAGGUCUUUGUGUGGAAUCCUUAGUUGCCUCUUCUGGCACCUGGUGACUCCAAAGACCUUCCUUGGCUGGCAGCUCAUCACUCCCGUCUCUGCCUCUGUGGUCACAUGGGCUUCUCCUCUGCAUCUGUGCCUGCCUUCAGCGUGUCUUUUAUAAGGACACUGGUAAUUGGAUUGAGGGCACACCUGCAUAUCCAAGAUGAUCUCAUCUUGUGAUCCCCAGUUCAUCAUGUCAGCAGAGACUCUCUCCAAAUAAGGUCACGUUCAGAGGUUCUGGGACGUGGACAUACCUACUCCAGCAUGAUUCACUGCAAUCAAUUAAAGCAAUACAAUAACGAAGAAAUUCACCGAGUACUUUAAGAAGCUCUUCUUUGGAGGAAGGCCAAUGAGCGUUUCUGCUUCCUGUGUUUCUGUGCUUGGGCCGCUCUCUGCUUGCCUGCGCACAGGAAGUAGUUCAGAGAACCCUGGAACCCUCUUGUGACACGUGUGAGGACUCCUGUCCCGGAAACCUGACACCAGUGCUUGCCAAAAACUCUAAGAUGAACACAGAGAUGGGUCUGAAAUUUGGAACUCGAGUCCCUGACAUGGAGGCCAGCCUCUGAGAAUGCUGUGCUCUUUUUUUUUUUCCAGUUGAGAAUUUGGCUGGGCCAAACCCCUCCCUGCACUUGUCAGAAGCCCAAGGUCCAGCCUUCACUCUCCUUGUGGAGGAAGAAAAGAAAAUUUAUUCAGCCAAGUUCGCCCACCUGCUCCUUUCAACUGAGAGUCUGCAUCCAUCCCUGUGUCCUUAAACAGGAAGGCACUGGGAAAGGUUGGCCUCUGGAGGGCUAGAACAAGAUGCUGUCAAGAAUGUGCUGGAGAAAUGGCCUGGCUUGACCUAGUGUCUGACUCUUGCAGACCAAAGAACUCACUCGCAAGUUGUGAGGACCUGUCAGGCUUCAUGCCAGGAACCACAAGCCAGGUGGCAGAGAGCAUCUCCCGAGUGGCCUGGGGUCAGGCCAUACCUGUGGCUUCAGGCUCCCUGCCUGGACCUGAUGGAGGACGUGGAGCACCCGGCAGGACAGCCCCCACUCUGGGCCUCUGCUGCCACCCCUCACCCCACCCCCAGUCAUUCUGUUCAUGUCCACAAUUGGCUGGCAGGAAGAGUGCCCUCCCCGUGCAGGACUAAGGACAACCCCUGCUUGGGGCCACAGCUGGGACACUGUAGCGUGGGGGCUAGGGCUCAGAAUCCAGCCCUGGGAAGCCUCGGUCUGGUGGGAUGUGCCUGCACUUCUGGGCAGCGUCACCCGGAGGCCUAUGCCAUGAAGUGGGUAGGCCCAAACACAGCUGUCUGCCCAGAGGAACAAAUAGCUGGGCCAGUGGCGAGCUGAGGAAGGAGGUCCCCAUGGGAAGGUGGGGCUGCUGCCCAGGUCCCGUGGGAGAGGCUGUGGGGCACCUGGGGUCGGAUCACAGUCCCCUCCCAUCUCUAAAGAAAAGCUGGAAACUCGGAUUUCCGGGGAACGUCUUCUGAUGUUAAAAUGCUGGCAGUGAGCUGAAAGUGUUAAGAUGAUCUGUGAGGAUCAGAUGACAUGCAUCUGGCAUGGCAUGGGCUGGCACGGGCUCUGGUGGCCCUGUUCUCUCUAAAUCAUGUGACCUUACCCUGCAAUGCUGUGCUGAGUUUAUAACUGAAGCUACUGAGAUCCAGAGACUUGCAGUGACUUCCCACAGGAGGCAAAGCCAGGUGGGAACCCGAUCUGGACAGCUGGUCUAUGCAUUCUCCACCAACCCCUACACCUCUCUCCCCAAGCUGACUGCCCUUCUAAAGGCUUGAUGGUGGCCACAGCCAGGAUGAUCAGGGCUCUGCUGCCCCUGCUUGGUGCAUGAGGCAGAGGACCUUGUUGGAGUCUGGCCUCCGAAAGAGGCUUUCAAAGCUCAGGCCUGGGCCUCACAGCAAUCUGUACAUCUUAGGGAUUGACUCUUCUGUGCAGAGAACAUGUUGCCCAGGGGCCAAGGUUCCCCAGGCCCAGACACUACACAUGCAGGCUGAGCUCCAUCAGGCUGCUUUCCCCUCAACCUCCAACUUGCCCUGUGGAACCCCUUCGGAGGGUGGCAGACUGGAGGUGGGCUCCACAGCCUGGACCUGUCUCAAGGAGGCUGCCACCAUUACCUUUCCAGGGCUUUCCCAUCUGCUGCUCCCCUUGCCACUUUCCCUAGAGCUAUUUCUGUGCUUCUGGCUGGAAUCAGGUGAGCCAUUCCACAGAAAUCCUGAGAGCUCAUAUUCAUGCAUCCCUCACGGCAUGCUAUGGAAGGUACUACUUCAUGCAUUCCUGAGAAGAAUCCUUGGAGACCAUUAUUUUACUUUUGUUAUACAGGUGAAUUUGCUUGUGGAAAUACUGGAAUUUAGUGGCAGAACCAACACUAGGACACAGUCCUAUCAGGCCUUGGAGUCCUUAUUUUUUUGUUUGUUUUAAGAUUUAUUUAUAUAUUUGAGGGAGGGGGCAGAGGAAGAAGAAGAAAGAAUCUCAAGCAGACUCCAUGCUGAGCUGAGCACGGAGCCCAAUGCCAGGCUCCUAUCAUGAAACUGUUGUGAGUUCUCAUGAAUCAUACAACUUGAGGAUGGUCUUGAGAUGCCCCAAAACAGCAGCUUAGAGGGAAGUUAUAUAAAGCUUCUGCCCAUGGGGAUCCCUGGGUGGCACAGCGGUUUGGCGCCUGCCUUUGGCCCAGGGCGCGAUCCUGAAGACCCGGGAUCGAAUCCCACGUCAGGCUCCCGGUGCAUGGAGCCUGCUUCUCCCUCUGCCUAUGUCUCUCUCUCUCUCUCUCUCUGUGACUAUCAUAGAUAAUUAAUUAAUUAAUUAAUUAAUUAAUUAAUUAAAAAAAAAAAGCUUCUGCCCAUGGCUGGCACGUGAAGUGGGCCUCAGCAAUGGUGGCCAGAAUUAUACCUCUGAAGCUCCAGCCUGUUGCUGGUUUUUCCUGUAGACCCCAUCCUCUCUCCUGAGGAGAGAGUCAGGUUCUGCUCUUUGCCUCCCUGACUGGGUUUAGCAUUCAUUCACUCAUGGCUUUCUCAAAGCUGCCCUCCACCCAGAGAAUCUCAGUUCAGGCAGGGCCCUGUCCCUGGCUGGGGACAAGAAGUGAAGAGGCUGACUCAUGCAUGACCUGAUGAUGGGCAAGUUGAGUCAGUUCCAUAGUCCGACCCACCCCUGAGAGGUGAUAAGCUGUAUUCCCUGGACAGGAGUGCAGACCUGCAGGCAUACUUCUAAAGUCUGUGGUAGUUGGAGCCAUGCUAACUGCAGCACCAGAGGAUGAAUGAAGAAGACAUCCCGGACAUCUGGACUCGGCAGAUAUCACCUGGAGCAGAGCUGAGCCAUUCACUGUGCUCUGUCUGAACCGCCAAUCCUCUCCGCCUUUACCUCCCUUUGUUAAAGAUGUGGGAACAAAAUUUUUCCAUGUCUUGACAUUCUCUUAACUUCCUCUUACUCUACCAUAAGAAAUGGGGGAAAUGCAUGGGCACUUGGGUGGCUCAGUUGGUUAAGUGUCUGCCUUCAGCUCAGGUCAUGAUCCUGGGGUCCUGGGAUAGAGCCCUGCAUUGGGCUCCCUGCUCAGCAGGGAGUCUGCUUCUCU